GAGCAGAGGCGGGGCUACAAUGUAAAUAUGGUUGUAGUUCUAUAAAUAUUCAAUCAAAUGCAGUGUGGUUGGUCAAUUACAUCAUUAAUAUACAUUAAUAAGCAGAAAUUAACCAAUGCUAUAGAGAUACGAUGGCGUUGGAAAAACCCGCCUUAUUUCCGAUUUUUGCCGAACUUCACCGAUUCUUAUUUUUCCUCUCUAAGCAAUUGUUUUUUUUAAAUCCGUGUUGUCUCGUUCGUCUCGCUCUGGAUCGGCUACAACUCUUGGAAAAGAAGCUCGUUCACGAGGCCUACCUCGACCUUUCGGAAAUCAAAGACAUAUUUAAAGUGGUUUUUCGCUUAGUAUUAUUAUUUUUAAACGAGUUAAAACUAGUUAUUUUUCUUAUUUUUUUAAGAAGAUGUCGAAGUUACUAUUACUUUACGACAACAUUUCGUUUUUUUACGGGACUACGCGAGAAUCCUCGGUCUCAAGUGGAAACCAUGCCGGCGUGAUCAGUGUUAUUUGAAGUACUCCAACUGGGAAAAUCCGACAAAAGCCUGCGGUGAUUAAUACAAUAACGGGACGAGAUUGGAAGGCCACGUCUAAAACGAAGUGAACCAGCUUGGCUUUGGCGGUACCAGAAGUGUUUUCACCAUGGAAGGACCUGGUUGUUGCCACUGACUGGCUCAGGAGUGGACCAGCCACUGUAGACAUUGUUCACAAAACUCUUGCUACAGCACAAGACCAAGUGACUAAAAAUGUACACCUAAAAGCUGAUUUAACAUAUUGUAUAAUGUUGUCCCCCUUAACAACUUUUUUGUUUGUUCUUGCAUGAGUGUGUAGCCAGGAUUACUUUUUAAAGACUAGAGCAAGUAGGUUGAACAGGGAAGUUGUUACAGAUAUAUGAUCACAUUGAUUGCACUGCAUCGGUUGAUUUUUAAACGACAUGUCCAUAAACCAAUCAGUUUGCAUUACCGAUUUGCAAAUACUUUUCUUAGUGGCUAGGCUCUUCAGUAUGCUGCUCCUUUUUAAAGUAUAGAAUGGUAGUUUCAAAUGUACACCUUCGAUUAUUGAGUGAUUUUAAAUGAAAGGAUUGUAGUAACUGUAUUUUGUUUAAAGUAAUAAAGAAAUCAAAGUUA